AUUGAACGCUGGCGGCAUGCCUUACACAUGCAAGUCGAACGGCAGCACGGGGCAACCUGGUGGCGAGUGGCGAACGGGUGAGUAAUGCAUCGGAACGUACCUUUCAGUGGGGGAUAACGUAGCGAAAGUUACGCUAAUACCGCAUAUUCUGGCAGCAGGAAAGCAGGGGAUCGCAAGACCUUGCGCUGAUUGAGCGGCCGAUUUCAGAGUAGAUAGUUGGUGAGGUAAAGGCUAACCAAGGCGACAAUCUGUAGCGGGUCUGAGAGGAUGAUCCGCCACACUGGAACUGAGACACGGUCCAGACUCCUACGGGAGGCAGCAGUGGGGAAUUUUGGACAAUGGGGGCAACCCUGAUCCAGCCAUGUCGCGUGAGUGAAGAAGGCCUUCGGGUUGUAAAGCUCUUUCGGCCGGGAAGAAAUCGCACGGGCUAAUACCCUGUGUGGAUGACGGUACCGGAAUAAGAAGCACCGGCUAACUACGUGCCAGCAGCCGCGGUAACAC
rnacentral:rRNA from 1 species